UACGUAGGGUGCGAGCGUUGUCCGGAAUUAUUGGGCGUAAAGGGCUCGUAGGCGGUUUGUCACGUCGGGAGUGAAAACUCGGGGCUUAACCCCGAGCCUGCUUCCGAUACGGGCUGACUAGAGGUAGGUAGGGGAGAAUGGAAUUCCCGGUGUAGCGGUGAAAUGCGCAGAUAUCGGGAGGAACACCGGUGGCGAAGGCGGUUCUCUGGGCCUUACCUGACGCUGAGGAGCGAAAGCGUGGGGAGCGAACAGG
rnacentral:rRNA from 1 species